CAGCAGCCGCGGUAAUACGAGGGGGGCAAGCGUUGUUCGGAAUUAUUGGGCGUAAAGGGCGCGUAGGCGGUUUGACAAGUCUGAUGUGAAAUCCCCGGGCUCAACCUGGGAAUGGCAGUGGAUACUGGCUCGCUAGAGUGUGUCAGAGGAUGGUGGAAUUCCCGGUGUAGCGGUGAAAUGCGUAGAGAUCGGGAGGAACAUCAGUGGCGAAGGCGGCCAUCUGGGACAACACUGACGCUGAGGCACGAAAGCGUGGGGAGCAAACAGGAUUAGAUACCCCCGUAGUCCCUGUCUCUUAUAC
rnacentral:rRNA from 1 species